GAAACUGGGAAGAAACAACUUUUUGUUAUGGGUAUGGUAGGGAAACUGCUGACAAGCCCUUGGAUGAAAAAAUUUUACAUUGCGCCUGGUGCGCAAGCUGUUUCUCAUCUUGGGGCUAUCACAGUCAUUAAAGAAGUUCUAGCCCAAGUAGAUCAAUGCCUUAAUAAUUCCUUCAUUAUUUUCACAAGAAACCUAGACUUCUUUGGUGAAAUCCUUGAUGUUAAUGAUCCCAUACUGGAGGUUCUUUUGCUCUGCCCUCAAGAUAAGGAAGUUGAAAACAUGAUAAAAGCUAGUUUGUCUUCUAUUGCAGAAACUAUCAAUAGGCAGUUUAAAAGGUAUCUUUGUAUGAAUGUGUCUGAGCUGAUGAGCACACAGACAGAAUCUGCUAGGCUACAUAACAUGGAUUCUGAAGAGGCGAUUGGCAUGUUUAGUGCAGCCAAGAAAAAAGCACCUAAUGCAACGAUGUGCUACAUGUCCUCUAGAAUCCGUUCCCUAAAGAACAGAACUGUAGCCUAUCUAGAUUCUCUGAGUGCCUCAGAUAUGACUGAAAGGGUGACUUGGGCCAUUGGUGUCUCUCGCAGUAGGAGGCAGGCUAAUCGAGUGAGGACGUCAGAGGUGACUAAGGAGAUUGCUCUGAGGGCGGAGCAAAAAAAACAGGAGACAGAACAGAAAGAAAGAAAGAAAAUUGAAAAACUUUUAAGACAAGACAAUUACAUUGACAAGAUUAAGGAACUGAUUACUAACUUGACUGAACAGACUUGGAUGGAUGUGCAGGAAUUGUUAUCUGGAAAUGUUAUAGACAGGUUGAUAUGCCACUAUUGGUACAGUCCAGGCCCUGUAUUAUAUAGAGGCAGGGUAAAGGGACUGAAAAAAGGAAUGAAAGAUGUAUAUUUGGUAAAAUAUUGGCUGGAUGAUGAUGACCAGAGUAGAGGGGUUGACUAUGACAUGAGCAAGUAUCAGCUUGCCUGUGACAUACUGUUCAAAGACUUGACAUUACUGUAGAAUAGUAUUUGUUAACAUCAAGGAUUUUUCCCUACCCAUUGACAAAAAUGUUCCAGUUUCACUUCUGUCUGACAAACAGGGAUUCUUUAUAAUAGGGUGGAAAAACAAUAGGGGGGGGGGUAAAUCUGUUAGCUAAUCAUUAGUGACUAAUACAUUUCAAUAAAAUAAAUACUUUUAUAAAAUUUUCAAACUGUAAAGAAUAGUAAACUAAAAGUUUAUGUCAUUAAUUUUAAACAUAUUAUAUACUAUUAUAAAAUUCACUAGAGGUAACCAUAGCCCUAACCUUUUUCUACUAUAUGUUUUAAGCUUUAAAAUAUAAAAUAUUUAAAAUAAAAUAGUACCUUAAUAAAAAAAGAUGUAAAUAAAACUAUCGAAUUAUAAAGAAUGAUCAUUGAAAAUUUUUUUUUUAACAGAAAAGUAAAGCCCCUCUUUCUGUAAUUUUAUAACAAAACAUUUGUGUUGGGAUUGUUUUUGUUAAUUUGAUUAUUAUUCAUUUCCUUCAUGUAACUAUAACUUUUGAAAUGAUUAAACCUACAUAUUGUUUACAAUUGUUUUCCCAUUGCAUCACAUGUAAUACAGCAAAGUUUAAAAUGAAUAAUGAUCAUGACUUACUAACAUACUAAGUGUUUCUCUAGUCCUCCCAGUAGAUCUGAAAUAACACCAGUUGUUGUGUACUACUUGUCAUUCCCAUUUUUAAUAUUGCGUUUAUUUUUUUUUUCUAGCACACUAUUUUGUUUUAUAUCAUCUAAUAAAAAAAAAGCUAAUUAACUAUUUUUCUUAGCUAUUUUUACUAUCACUAAUGAUAUGUGGUACAUCAUCACUUUUUAUAUAACGUUCCUUGUUAAAAUUUAUUUUAUUGAUAGUUCAUAAAGAAUUAAUUUAAAUUAUGUUUAAUGUAAAGCCAUAACUUUAAAAUUAAAAUAUUUAAUAAUUUUUAUAAACAAUAUUAUUAGUUUUAUAAAAUUGUCUUCACUUCAAGUUUGUGACUGUAAAGAUAUGUAAACUUUCCUUUUUAUAUUUAUGUGUACCAUUAAAAAUUAAGUUUUUUCAAACACAAAUCAUCAUAUAUCCUAUUAACCUUUCAUCAAUCAAACAUUAAACUCUCAUAAAAAAAACUUUUUUUUCAAAUCCAUUUAUUAUUAACCCUUCAUUAAAUUAAACAUUAAACUUUUCAUAAAUUCAUAUGUGCCUUAUACUUUCAUGAUGGUGUCUAAAUUCCCACAUGUGCCUUAUACUUUCAUGAUGGUGUCUAAAUUCCCACAUGUGCCUUAUACUUUCAUGAUGGUGUCCUUCAACUCCUUGCAUGUCAUCAGAGUCCCUUCGGCAACAUUUACUUAAUCAUCAUCCAGUACAUACUAACUUGCAUGUCAUCAGAGUCACUUGGCUCCAUUUACUUAUUCAUCAUCCAGCACAUACUAACUUGCAUGACAUCAGAGUCACUACGGCACCAACAAAUUAACCACCAUUGACUUCAUCAUCAUUCUAUGCUGCUUACUUGCAUGAUAUCUGCUUUGCUACGCUUCUAACACAAAGAAGCCACCAUUUACUUUAUCGUCAUUCAUCACUGACUAAUUUGCAUGUCAUCGAGUCCCUACGUCACUAACAAACCACCAUUGGCUUCAUCAUCAGUUGGUCGAACUUAAUUUCUAUGUUAUCACAUUCAUCUUCUACGUUAUCAGCACAAUCCAGCAAUCAUUUAUGCCUUGCCAUCUUACCAUGCUAUACUUCAAAAUUAACAUCAUAUUAUCAAUUGUCAAGAAACAUUUAUAAAGAGAGACCUGACAACCCAGCAAGUCCGACACUUCGUUUUUCAAAUUAAGGACACAGAAUAGAGCUGCAAUAUAUAUGGAUCCAUCAAUCAGAGAUUCAAUUCAAAUAUUGCUAAGAGUUUGCCCUCCUGAUCCAAGUGAAAAAGACUUUGCACCAUGAGUUCUGGAUGUUAACACUGCAGACAAUGCCAUUAUUCUUCACACAAAGCCAGAGCCCAAAAUUUUCAGCCUUGACAAUGUAGCAGAUGCUGACACCACACAGGAAGCUAUGUUUUCACUAGUUGGUAAAAAGAUUAUUGAAGAUUGUUUAAAUGGCUACAAUGGAUCCAUAUUAGCUUAUGGCCAGACUGGCUCAGGAAAAAGUUUUACUAUGUUUGGUCCCUCUGAGAACUUGGAAAGCUCUCAGCUUCGUGGUGUGAUUCCCUGAAGUUUGGAGUAUCUCUUUAGUGUAAUAGCUCACCAACAAGAUCAUGGCAGUAAAAAACAGUUUUUGUGUCGCUGCUCCUUUUUAGAAAUCUAUCAAGAGCAAAUCUUUGAUCUUUGGAUACAGCUUCACAAGGU